GUAAGGAAUAUUGGUCAAUGGACGAGAGUCUGAACCAGCCAAGUCGCGUGAAGGAAGACGGUUCUAUGAAUUGUAAACUUCUUUUGUGCAGGAAUAAAGUGGGUUACGUGUAACCUUUUGUAUGUACUGUACGAAUAAGGAUUGGCUAACUCCGUGCCAGCAGCCGCGGUAAUACGGAGGAUCCGAGCGUUAUCCGGAUUUAUUGGGUUUAAAGGGUGCGUAGGUGGAUUGAUAAGUCAGCGGUGAAAGUUUGCAGCUUAACUGUAAAAUUGCCGUUGAAACUGUCGGUCUUGAGUGCAAAUGAGGUAGGCGGAAUGUGUUGUGUAGCGGUGAAAUGCUUAGAUAUAACACAGAACUCCGAUUGCGAAGGCAGCUUACUGGGAUGCAACUGACACUGAUGCACGAAAGCAUGGGUAUCAAACAGGAUUAGAAACCCGUGUAGUCC
rnacentral:rRNA from 1 species